rnacentral:rRNA from 1 species
AUGGCUCAUGCUACUCACCUACUUCCUUUAUUCAUACUGAUACAACUAUACUCGCUAGCCACAUUUUCUCAUGGCCAUGGCCAUGGUAAUACAGCAGCUUCUUCUUUCUGUCAUCCAGACCAGGCUGCGGCACUUCUCCAGUUAAAGCAGUCAUUCAUCUUCGACUACUCCACCACUAUACUGCCAUCAUGGCAGACUGGCACCGGCACGGAUUGUUGCCUCUGGGAGGGUGUCGGCUGUGAUGAUGGCGGCCAUGUCAGUGUUCUCGACCUCAGUGCUCGUGGCCUCUACAGCAAUGGAUGCCAUCCUGCAAUCUUCAACCUCACCUCCCUGCGAUACCUCGACCUUAGCAUGAAUGACUUUGGUGGAACUCGCAUUCCGGCAGCUGGCUUCGAGAGGCUAUCCAGGCUCACCCAUCUCAACCUUUCUCACUCAGGCUUCUAUGGUCAGAUUCCGGUCGCCAUCGGGAAGCUCACAAGCCUCAUAUCAUUGGACCUAUCUACAAGACAUGGUGUUGAUAUUUCCUAUACAACCACGAGUUACUAUACUCUCUUGGGUGGGUAUGACUACCUGCUGCUACAAGAGCCCAGCUUUGAGAUCUUAGUGGCAAACCUCACCAAUAUGAGGGAACUCUACCUUGAUGGAGUGGACAUAACUGCUAGCGCAGAAGAGUGGUGCGUUGUUCUAGGUAAAGCUGUCCCCCAUCUUGAGGUUCUUAGCAUGGUACGUUGCGGUCUUCGUGGUUCAAUUCACUCCUCCAUGUCAAGUCUUCGAUCCCUUACAGUAAUCAACCUCGAGGGUAAUGAUAUUUCUGGUGUGGUUCCUGAAUUCUUCUCAGACUUUCUCAAUUUAAGUGUUCUUCAGCUGAAGUAUAACAGUUUCAGUGGCUGGUUUCCUCUGACAAUCUUUCAACUCAAGAAUAUAAGAGUGCUUGAUGUGUCUCGCAACCGUCAACUCACAGGACAUUUACCAGAAUUUCCAAAUGGGUCUUCUUUCGAGACUUUGAACCUACUGUCUACUAAUUUCUCUGGUAUGAAGAUGACCUCAUUUAGCAACAUCUUAUAUCUGAGGGAGAUAGGUUUUGAUGCAAGGUCAAUUUUUGUGGAGCCUGCAGAUUUAAUGUUCAAAAAGCUCAACUCUUUGCAACACUUGCAGCUCUCUUUUGCACAAUUUUCAGGGGAAUUAAGGCCAUUUUUCUUGUGGAUUAGUAGCCUUAAGAACUUGACAAGCUUAGGGCUCUCAUAUUAUUUUUGUGAGUUAGGGCCAUUUUUAUCAUAUAUUAGUAGCCUCAAGAACUUGGCAAGCUUACGACUCUCCUAUUUCUCUUCAUUCAAGAUAAUGCCAAACAUGAUUGGCAACCUCACCAACUUGUCAACUUUGGAAAUAACUUUUGGCUUCACUGGGCAAAUACCACCAUCAAUUGGCAACCUCAACAAGUUAACUUCCUUGACAAUCUCUGAUUGUGGCUUCUCUGGGGCAAUACCAUCUUCGAUCGGCAAUCUCACUAAACUAAGAAGCUUGGACAUCCGUUGGAGUGGUCUAUCAGCAAUGUUGUCGUUGGAUCUUGCAUCAAACCAACUUUCUGGACCGAUAAAAGAAUUUGGGGGACUAAAAGAUCUAGUGUCACUGGAUCUUAGCUCAAACAACUUAACAAGUUUAGUACAUCUGAGUUCCCUUUGGAAAUUAAGAAAGCUUGUUCACUUGGUUCUAUCAAACAACAGGUUGUCUGUUUUGGAUGGAGAAGGCAGUAAACCCAUGGUACCAUUACUUCCUAAACUAGUGAUACUAGGGCUUGCGUCUUGCAACAUGACAAGAAUUCCUAGAUUGUUGAUGCAUGUAAAUCAUAUCAAAAUGUUAGACCUUUCGAGCAACAAUAUACAUGGGACUAUACCCAAAUGGAUAUGGCAAAGAUGGGAUGACAGUCUUACAAGUUUAAAUCUUUCACACAACAUAUUUACAUAUAUGCAACUCACUUCAUAUGUUCUCCCAUACAAUCAUUUGGUAUCUCUUGAUCUAAGUUCCAAUAGGCUUCAAGGCCAGAUACCAAUGCCAAACCUGUUGACAACAACUAACUUUUACCCUCAAUUCUUGGAUUAUUCAAAUAACAGAUUCUCUUCUGUUAUGUCUAACUUCACCGCUUAUCUUCGCCGAACUGGCUAUCUCAAAUUGUCACGAAAUGACAUAAGUGGGCAUAUACCCCAUUCAGUUUGUGACUUAAGCAACCUUGAAGUCCUUGACCUUUCAUAUAACAACUUCAGUGGCAUAAUACCAUCUUGUCUGGUAAAAGAGAGCAAUUUGUGUGUAUUAAAUUUGAGGGAAAAUCACCUAGAGGGAACAUUGCCUUACCAUGUUAGUAAGCACUGUAAUCUGAAGACAAUAGAUUUACAUGGCAAUAAAAUUCAAGGGCAACUGCCUAGGUCUCUUUCCAACUGCGCUGCGUUGGAGGUUCUAGACAUUGGAAACAAUCAUAUGGUUGAUACUUUCCCAUCUUGGUUGGGUAGGCUCUCUGAUCUUCGUAUCAUCGUUCUGGGAUCCAACCUGUUCUAUGGCUCGCUUACUUAUCCUACCAGAGAUAGAAAAUCCAGGGAAUACUUCCCAAAGUUACAAAUAAUUGAUAUAGCUUCAAAUAAUUUCUCUGGCAAUUUGGAUCCACAAUGGUUUGAGAGGUUCGCAUCUAUGAUGGCAAAAUUCAAUGACACGGGACAUAUCUUAAGGCAUCGGACAUAUUACAGAGACUACCAUAAUACUGUUGCAAUCACAUACAAAGGGCAAUAUGCGACUUUUGAAGAAGUCUUCACUACCUUAACCGCAAUUGACUUCUCAAAUAAUGCAUUGGAGGGUGACAUUCCCGAAUCAGUUGGAAGUCUAGUUUCACUACAUAUAUUGAACAUGUCACAUAAUGCAUUUACAGGAAGAAUUCCACCACAAAUUGGUGAGAUGCGUCAAUUGGAAUCACUAGACCUAUCAUGGAACAGGCUUUCUGGGAACAUUCCACAAGAGCUAACAAAUUUAACAUUUCUUGGCACCCUAAACUUGUGUGGAAAUAGGCUGGAUGGAAGGAUACCACAGUCACGUCAAUUUGCAACAUUUGAGAACACUUCAUAUGAAGGGAAUGCAGGGCUGUGUGGACCACCUUUGUCCAAACCAUGUGGCAAUUCAAGUAACCCAAAUGAGGCACAAGUAAGCAUAUCCAAAGAUCAUGUUGACAUUAUUUUGUUUCUCUUUGUUGGAGUGGGCUUUGGCGUUGGAUUCACAGCAGGUAUUCUGCUGAAAUGGGGUAAAAUCGGCAAAUGGUUCCGAAUUGUGUGA